rnacentral:rRNA from 1 species
GACGUAGGGCGCAAGCGUUGUCCGGAUUUAUUGGGCGUAAAGAGCUCGUAGGCGGCUUGUUGCGUCGUCCGUGAAAAACCUGUGGCUCAACUACAGGCUUGCGGUCGAUACGGGCGGGCUGGAGUUCGGUAGGGGAGACUGGAAUUCCUGGUGUAGCGGUGAAAUGCGCAGAUAUCAGGAGGAACACCAAUGGCGAAGGCAGCACUCUGGGACGUGACUGACGCUGAGACGCGAAAGCGUGGGGAGCAAACAGG